GCAAACCUUCGUUAGGUGAGGCUUCUGCAUAGACAGACGCCACUGCCCGGAAACGUCGAAAGACGCCAAUGGGUCAACAGGUAUUACCGGCUUAAGGUUUUACCUAAUGUGGCUGAGAAAAUUCUCUAGCUAUGCACGUGCCAAAGCUCAACGAGUGGGGGUUAAU
rnacentral:sRNA from 19 species